UCUCCGUUGGUGAACCAGCGGAGGGAUCAUUACCGAGUUUACAACUCCCAAACCCAGUGUGAACCAUACCAAACUGUUGCCUCGGCGGGGUCACGCCCCGGGUGCGUCGCAGCCCCGGAACCAGGCGCCCGCCGGAGGGACCAACCAAACUCUUUCUGUAGUCCCCUCGCGGACGUUAUUUUUACAGCUCUGAGCAAAAAUUCAAAAUGAAUCAAAACUUUCAACAACGGAUCUCUUGGUUCUG
rnacentral:misc_RNA from 1 species